AGAGAAGGAAAGGUACUAGCAUCCAUCUUUGUUUCUCCAAAAGGUGGGUGCGUAAACCAAUCAUCGGGAAGCCAAGAUCCAGCAAACGCAAAAAUAGCAAAGCCACGGGUUUUGUCGAGAAGAAAUGGCCUGCCAGCGGAAUUGUGAGCUCUCAUGGCUUGAGAAGCAGCCCUGUUCACGAUUUCUUCGCUCAACCUAAUACGAUUUCCAAGAAGGCAGAAGGGGAAGAGGGUGAGUUGUUUAUGGGCUUUUUUGGUAACUACACAACCAUUGACGAAGACUUAAGGUUGACGUGGACAUUAUCCGCCCUUUCAAUCCACCUAGUCAGCGUGAGCAUCAAAGACUCUUGGGAUGAUUAAGCGGAGAAGCCGUUGGAUUGGAAUGACAGGCGGCUGAUGGGGGAUUCUUUCCUUCAUUCCAGUUGCGAGGAAAUGAGAGUGAAGAUGCCCACACGAUUUUUAAACCCUGUCUGAAAAGGCUUUUGAUUGUGGGAGGUCCAUUUCCAAUUUGAAAGUAGCUACAAGAACGUAUCAAAUACGACAUUUGUGGAUGGA